GCUAGCCAUAUCAAUAAGCGGAGGAAAAGAAACCAACAGGGAUUGCCCUAGUAACGGCGAGUGAAGCGGCAACAGCUCAAAUUUGAAAUCUGGCCUUCUUUGGGGGUCCGAGUUGUAAUUUGCAGAGGGCGCUUUGGCGUCGGCAGCGGUCUAAGUUCCUUGGAACAGGACGUCACAGAGGGUGAGAAUCCCGUACGUGGUCGCCUGCCUUCGCCGUGUAAAGCCCCUUCGACGAGUCGAGUUGUUUGGGAAUGCAGCUCUAAAUGGGAGGUAAAUUUCUUCUAAAGCUAAAUACUGGCCAGAGACCGAUAGCGCACAAGUAGAGUGAUCGAAAGAUGAAAAGCACUUUGGAAAGAGAGUCAAACAGCACGUGAAAUUGUUGAAAGGGAAGCGCUUGCCGCCAGACUUGCCCGUGAAGGUUCUCCUCCUCGGGCAGGCCAGCAUCAGUUUGAGCGAUCGGAUAAUGGCCUCUGUCAUGUAUCUUCCUUCGGGAUGACCUUAUAGGGGAGUCGUAGUACGGUCAGCUUGGACUGAGGUCCGCGCAUUUGCUAGGAUGCUGGCGUAAUGGCUGCAAGCGGCCCGUCUUGAAACACGGACCAAGGAGUCUAACAUCUAUGCGAGUGUUUGGGUGUCAAGCCCGAGCGCGCAAUGAAAGUGAACGGAGGUGGGAACCCUCUCUGGGGGUGCACCAUCGACCGAUCCUGAAGUCUUCGGAUGGAUUUGAGUAAGAGCAUGGCUGUUGGGACCCGAAAGAUGGUGAACUAUGCUUGAAUAGGGUGAAGCCAGAGGAAACUCUGGUGGAGGCUCGCAGCGGUUCUGACGUGCAAAUCGAUCGUCAAAUUUGGGCAUAGGGGCGAAAGACUAAUCGAACAUAAUGUAC
rnacentral:rRNA from 1 species